UAGGCUAUAUUGAGGUGGUACUCCAUAUCGUAACCAUGCAGACUCCAUAUCAUAAGCUGUCAUCUCUUCUUCCCAUCAUGCCUGUCAUGGUAGGGCAGGAGUAGGAUCUUGUGUAUGUCAUUUGCAUUCACAUUGGAAAGCGCGCUCUCACAGCCACAUCUCACUGGAUGUUCUAUAUUCUCUCUCUCUCUAUCCUUCCCUCCAUCUCUCUCUCUUUCUCUCUCUUUUCUUCAGCCCACAAGGGGGCGUGGGGACAGGCCACAUAGGUUGACCAAGAGAGCCAACUGCGUGGAAACACAUCGAUGAUGGCCAAUUACGUGUCCUGGCGAGGAUAGAGGAAAGUGGAGGAGGCAAGUGCUGCGAUAAUCCUGGACUCUAAGCUGCAUUACUGUGCAAGGAAACCCACUUGUGGUCGAUAAGCAGCCUGAAGGGCAUGCAUCGACCCCUUCAAUAGUCCCACCGAACACCAAGGAACAACAACGACCACUUUGCAGACACCUGGGCUAGCCUUACCUCAGCUCCAAGACCCAGGAGAGGAGCAGGAGUUCCCUCACUCUGCCUUCGUUUCUCGAUCAGUCGAGUAGAGUUCCCUUGAGCGGAGUCUCUCUGGUUGACGCCCAAGGAAAGGCACGCGCGGUCACUCAGCUGAGACGAAUUUACCAGGGCAAAGUGUGAGAAUAU
rnacentral:misc_RNA from 1 species